ACAAGUGAGGAAGAAAGAAAACGAGUGAUCCAGACCACGUGAAGCUGGGCCACAGGAAUGGUAGAAGUGUGGUGUGGGCAAGAGUGAUCUUGCGUCUUGUAGGCCCUGUACAAGGUGCUGUGACAUGUGCUAGUGGGUGACAUGGGCUCACACAAGCAAAGCUGGGACCAGAUAUCAUCCCACUCAUACGAGGGCCACGUGGAAUAAGACCACGUGAGGGCCAUGAUUUGGUGGAGAAAAGAAGAGAGACCCAGGCGGGAGCAGUGUGUAUAAAGGAUCAUGAGUGGAAAAAAAUACAGUGAGCAUGCAGACCAGAGAACAGGAGGUCUUGACUAAGACAAGACCAAAAAGAGGAUUUGAGGGGCAAGGAGUCAGUAGCAUAUGUGGGGAGAAGCCUUAACACAAUUGGCCUCCACAUCCCUUAAGCAGACUUCCAGGAUUGACUGGAGGACAGGUAACAGCAGCCACUCAACCCCAGAGAGAGAGAGAGAGAAAGAGAAGAGAUCUUCCUGUCACCCUAUCAGCUGACAUCCAUCCUCCUCUGGGAAGCUUUUCAGGAUUCCUAGAACACCAACCCUUGAAUUGCCCAGUUCCUGUCUGGGAUAGGAGUACUUGAACUUUACACAUUGCCCAUUUCUGCAUAUUUUUACUAGCUUGGGAGCCCCAUGGGGGCAGGAACUGAGUCUGUGUUGAAUAAAAGCUCUUAGAUCCUGA